GUCCUUCCACAGGUCUAAGUCCUCUAGGUCAGAGUCUUUAUGAAAAUCAGCAUCCUCAAACAGGUCAAAGGCCUCCAGGUCAGAGUCCUCAAGGUCAGACCCCUUCCACAGGUCAGACUCCUUAAGAGUCCUCUGGGUUAGUCUUUCAGCAGGUCAGAGUCCUUUAGCAGAUCAGGUCCUCAAACAGGUCAAAGUCCUCCAAGAAGUCAGAGUCUUUCAACGUGUCAGAAUUGGGGCUGGGUAGCAGUAUUUUAAGGGGUACAGACUGAAUUACGUCAGAACUACCAAGCACUGAUUCCUGUAAAUCCACUGGAGCCGAAUUUUGUUACCCGAGAGAACAUCUGGGUGAGACCUCUGGGGUUAGACCAAAGAUGGAAGUGCAGCGAAGCAUCUGUCCAUCAGCCCCUUAGCCAGCUGUUCUGCCAGCUUUCCAGCAAGCCAAGACAAUCAUGCAGCGCCGAUCUGCUGUGAUAGUUUCACCAUCUGGUCUAUUUUCUUUUCUUUAUAUUUUAGUAAUAGCCUAGGAUCACUGCUAGAUGAGUUGAAACACAUACACAUGCAUUCUAGUGCACCGGACAUUACUCAGGUACUGCUACUGGUGCUGGUUGAAAUGUGAAUGGUACCCAGCCCGAGCCAGAAUCUCUUGAGUCUCUCUGAGCCAUCCUGAC